GAUGAACGCUGGCGGCGUGCCUAAUAUAUGCAAGUCGAACGCAUAGCGAAAGGUGCUUGCACCUUUCACGUGAGUGGCGAACGGGUGAGUAACACGUGGACAACCUGCCUCAAGGCUGGGGAUAACAUUUGGAAACAGAUGCUAAUACCGAAUAAAACUUAGUGUCGCAUGACACAAAGUUAAAAGGCGCUUCGGCGUCACCUAGAGAUGGAUCCGCGGUGCAUUAGUUAGUUGGUGGGGUAAAGGCCUACCAAGACAAUGAUGCAUAGCCGAGUUGAGAGCCUGAUCGGCCAGAUUGGGACUGAGACACGGCCCAAACUCCUACGGGAGGCUGCAGUAGGGAAUCUUACACAAUGGGCGAAAGCCUGAUGGAGCAACGCCGCGUGUGUGAUGAAGGCUUUCGGGUCGUAAAGCACUGUUGUAUGGGAAGAACAGCUAGAAUAGGAAAUGAUUUUAGUUUGACGGUACCAUACCAGAAGGGGACGGCUAAAUACGUG
rnacentral:rRNA from 1 species